UGUUUCAGAAGUUUCCGAACCGCUAAAACUGGAAUCAUAGGCCCAACACAAUAUUCACCACUGGCCUACCACAGCCAAUCAGAGCACCACUAGCUUACCCACAGCCAAUCAGCUUCUGGCUGACGGGCUGCUGCUAGCCGCAUGUCGCAGCAGACAGCCUGGUUUCCUGGGAAAAUCUUGUUGUUGGGCACACGCACACUAUAUAAGUUACUCUUGCAGUCGCUCGCGACGCUCGCUGACGAAAUAACGCAAGAGGUUGUCUUGACUAGACUAGCCUACCAAGACCAAGAAAGCUUCCACGGUCCACUCAGUCCACUGUGAUCUGCUGUAAAAAGUUUCCAGAUCUGGAACAGGAAAGUUUCGAAAACACGAUAGAAGAUCUACGACAUUGUUGUCUAGAAUCUUUCAGUCCCCACUACCACUACUACCAGUAUGGCCAGACGACUCAACAUCGUGUUGAUGGGCAAGACCGGCAAUGGCAAAAGUUCCACCGGAAACAGCAUCUUAAACAGUACCUCCUUCUUAUGUCCUGAUUCAGCAAGCUCAACUACCCAGGCGGUUGACUCGGACACCAGGGUGGUACAAAAUUACGCGGUCACUGUUGUGGAUACACCAGGGAUGAGGAACAAGACAGAUGACAGUGGGCGUGUCGACAGUUCCGCUGAAACAUACGCGGCCAUGGAAUACAUGAAUACAGCUAUCUCUCGUUGCCCGGAUCAAGAAAUACACCUAUUCCUUCUAGUUCUACCCUAUGGAUGUACAUAUACCGGGGAUGAGAUCGGUGUGGUAAAGGACUUGACGAAGAAAGGUUAUGCUGAACACAUGCUGCAACGGACUGCAGUGGUUUUCACCCAUGGCCGUGAUUUUGUACUAAGAUAUGGUUCAUCCCCUAAUGCGUUUCAUCAGUGGUGUUUGCGCCAAACUGGCAAACUAAGACAGCUACUUAGCAAGGUAGAUUACAGAUGCCUGCUGUUUGAAAACAUACAGCCUGAUGCCAAUACACAGGCAUUUCAAAGACAGAUGGUCCUUGACAUGGCUAACAAUGUUCGCUCUCGUAGAGGCCCGUUCACUAAGAGGGGUUUCCUUAACUCACUCUGGUGGUGGGAUAGGUUGUGGCUGGGUGAAUGCAAUAUUCUGUAAUUUGUAAUACUAUCAUGCCUGAUCUGGCUGCUCUUUGUAACCACGACAGAGUCGGAUCCGUUGUGCUUUUGUUUCAUCACUUUUAAAUUGUCGUAUUUUGAUCGGAAGACUUUGGUCAUAGGAAAAUGUAGGGUUGUGUCGAAAGAGCCCUGUUCAAAGAUCAUUACCUUACA